GCGGGUAUAGUUCAGUGGUAAAACCCAACCUUCCCAAGGUUGUGUCGCGAGUUCGAUUCUCGUUACCCGCU
rfam:Lactobacillus mucosae LM1, complete genome.